rnacentral:rRNA from 1 species
UGGAUAGUGGCGAAAGGGUUAGUAAUGGAUAGGUAACGUACCCUUUGCUUCGGGAUAGCGUCAUUCGCCUUCGGGCGAAUUUCCGAAAGGGGCGGUAAUACCGAAUAAUAUCAUUUGUCGAUAGGCAGAUGAUCAAAGAUUUAUCGGCAAAGGAGCGGCUUAUCUCCUAUCAGCUUGUUGGUGGGGUAAUGGCUCACCAAGGCUAUGACAGGUAGCGGGACUGAGAGGUUGACCCGCAACAUCGGGACUGAGACACUGCCCGGACCUCCACGGAGGGCUGCAGUAACGAAUAUUGCGCAAUGGGCGAAAGCCUGACGCAGCGACGCCGCGUGUAGGAUGAAGUCUUUCGGGAUGUAAACUACUGUCAGGGGUAAGAAAGUCCGCUUCGGCGGAUUGAUCUAACCCAGAGGAAGUCACGGCUAACUUCGUGCCAGCAGCCGCGGUAAGACGAAGGUGGCUAGCGUUGUUCGGUGUCACUGGGCUUAAAGAGUGUGUAGGCGGAAAAGCAAGCGCUUUGUGAAAGCCCCAGGCUUAACCUGGGAAUUGCUCGGCGAACUGCUUUUCUUGAGGCAAGUAGGGGUGCAUGGAACUCUUGGUGGAGCGGUGGAAUGCGUAGAUAUCAAGAGGAACGCCGGCGGUGAAAACGGUGCACUGGGCUUGACCUGACGCUGAGACACGAAAGCGUGGGGAGCGAACGGGAUUAGAUACCCCGGUAGUCCACGCCGU